rnacentral:rRNA from 1 species
CAGGCCUAACACAUGCAAGUCGAGCGGAUGAUAAUCGCUUGCUCUUCGAUUCAGCGGCGGACGGGUGAGUAAUGCCUAGGAAUCUGCCUGAUAGUGGGGGACAACGUCUCGAAAGGGACGCUAAUACCGCAUACGUCCUACGGGAGAAAGCAGGGGACCUUCGGGCCUUGCGCUAUCAGAUGAGCCUAGGUCGGAUUAGCUUGUUGGUGAGGUAAUGGCUCACCAAGGCGACGAUCCCUAGCUGGUCUGAGAGGAUGACCAGCCACACUGGAACUGAGACACGGUCCAGACUCCUACGGGAGGCAGCAGUGGGGAAUAUUGCACAAUGGGCGCAAGCCUGAUGCAGCCAUGCCGCGUGUAUGAAGAAGGCCUUCGGGUUGUAAAGUACUUUCAGCGGGGAGGAAGGCGGUGAAGUUAAUAGCUUCACCGAUUGACGUUACCCGCAGAAGAAGCACCGGCUAACUCCGUGCCAGCAGCCGCGGUAAU